rnacentral:misc_RNA from 1 species
GAUGAAGAACGUAGCGAAAUGCGAUAAGUAGUGUGAAUUGCAGAAUUCAGUGAAUCAUCGAAUCUUUGAACGCACAUUGCGCCCCUUGGUAUCCCGAGGGGCAUGCCUGUUCGAGCGUCAUUUCACCACUCAAGCCUGGCUUGGUGUUGGGCGACGUCCCCUUUGGGGACGCGCCUCGAAACGCUCGGCGGCGUGGCACCGGCUUUAAGCGUAGCAGAAUCUUUCGCUUUGGAAGUCGGGGCCCCGUCUGCCGGAAGACCUACUCGCAAGGUUGACCUCGGAUCAGGCAGGGAUACCCGCUGAUCUUAAGCAUAUCAAUAAGCGGAGGA